rnacentral:rRNA from 1 species
CCCUUAGACGUUCUGGGCCGCACGCGCGCUACGCUGACGAAGGCAACGAGCUUUCCUUUACCGAAAGGUACGGGUAAUCUUUUGAAACUUCGUCGUGCUGGGGAUAGAUCCUUGCAAUUUUUGAUCUUAAACGAGGAAUGCCUAGUAAGCGCAAGUCAUCAACUUGCGUUGAUUACGUCCCUGCCCUUUGUACACACCGCCCGUCGCUACUACCGAUUGAAUGGUUUAGUGAGGCCUUCGGAUCCGCGACUCGUUUUGUGGAGAAGUUGGACAAACUCAGUCAUUUAGAGGAAGUAAAAGUCGUAACA